UACGUAGGGUGCAGGCGUUAAUCGGAAUUACUGGGCGUAAAGCGUGCGCAGGCGGUUUGCUAAGACAGGUGUGAAAUCCCCGGGCUUAACCUGGGAACUGCGCUUGUAACUGGCAAGCUAGAGUGUGGCAGAGGGGGGUGGAAUUCCACGUGUAGCAGUGAAAUGCGUAGAGAUGUGGAGGAACACCGAUGGCGAAGGCAGCCCCCUGGGUCAAGAUUGACGCUCAUGCACGAAAGCGUGGGGAGCAAACAGG
rnacentral:rRNA from 1 species